rnacentral:lncRNA from 1 species
UAGAAGAGCAUAAUUCUAGAUUUUGAACUGAAUAAAGUUUGGGCCAAAGAAUGAGUAACCCAAAAAAGAACUCUAUAUAUAACUCUAAUUCUCUUGCAUUGAGUGUGCAGCGCCUCCAUAUCUAACAUUUUCAGAUCAAUCUCUCCCAGCUUCUAGACUAGACUAGGAUACGCAUUAAACUCCUCUCAUCAUCAUCAUCAUCCAUGAUGGAGCUCCUGCUACAAUCUUUAUUGCCAAAGUUCCAACUAAGUUUCAGUAUAAUGACUUACUUUUGUGUUCAACCGUGAUUUCCUUGAUUAAUUAGGUAUUAAAUUUUUUCUUAAACUUUCAUCAAUUUAUUGGGUUAUGUUUAUCAGUUAUAUGUUUCCAUAUUUCACUACCAUCUUGCGUUAUUUCUAGAAAUACAUUUCUUAACAAGUAUGGGAUGAAGCUAAAGUGGAAAUUAGUAUGGGUGUAUAUUGAUUAAUUAGUGAAUAAGGGUUUUUGUUUUUCUUCUUGUUGGAGUAGCACUAAACCCUAACAAAUAAAAUAGAAAUAAGACCUUUAUCAUAAAAUUGAAUGUGAAAUUGAAGUUAGUCUAGGCUUUGUAUGUCUAUAUCUCUUUUCCGGGUAACAAAUUGCAUAUUUAAAAGCUAUAUAUUGAUAUACUAUUUUCAUGUGUAGAGAUGAAGAAAGAGUCUCUCAUGAGGUCUGAGACAAGAAAAGAGAAAAAAAGAGUUGACUGAAGCAUAUGUGCCUGGAUUCGGAAUGUGUACCAUUGCUACUUGGUUGUGCUAAGCCACCACCUCAUUUCGAUGGAAGGGAUGUACAUACGAGCACUUCAAGCGAAACUGAAGUAGAUGUUGAUCAGGACCGAUGACUUAGGAGGUAGAAUGUUGAUAAGGGCAAUCUAAGUUGAAUUGAGGCGGCCUUGGCACUUGCUAGAAAGAAUGCAUUCACAAGGACAUUCAUGGUUCGGUAAAUUUCACCCAAGAAGAAAGUCGUUGAAUGCUUUAAAAUUCUUCAUGGUGAUUGUAAAAUAGAAGUGUUUCUCGGUGAUGAUCAAUAAAAUAGAAGUUUAAAAUAGGUCCAAUACACCAAGCAGCAACUUUAGCUACAAAUAUGGGAAAUAGAUGAGAGUCACUUAGGCAUGUCUUGUAAACCAUGAAAUGAAAUGAGAACACUUACUGGUGACAAUAACAUUAAAUAUAUCACUCAUUCUUUCUAUAUCCCUUUUGGAGGAAGGUUUCCUUUUUGUGGGGAAUCAUAUGGUGUAAUUUAUGUACAAGAAAAAAUAGUCUGGUUUAAUUAUCCUCAUUACCAGGAAAAUUUUGUAUUUGUGUACUUCUUCUUUGCCUCCGUUUGUCUACUUUAUUGGCAGUGUAGUCUGGAAUUUUUGUCGAGACAAAGCAAUACGCUACUUAAAUAUUCACAAAGCAU